CGUAGGGCGCGAGCGUUGUCCGGAUUUAUUGGGCGUAAAGAGCUCGUAGGCGGCUUGUCGCGUCGUCCGUGAAAACUUGGGGCUCAACCCCAAGCUUGCGGUCGAUACGGGCAUGACUGGAGUUCGGCAGGGGAGACUGGAAUUCCUGGUGUAGCGGUGAAAUGCGCAGAUAUCAGGAGGAACACCGGUGACGAAGGCGGGUCUCUGGGCCGAUACUGACGCUGAGGAGCGAAAGCGUGGGGAGCGAACAGG
rnacentral:rRNA from 1 species